rnacentral:rRNA from 1 species
AGUGAACGCUGGCGGUAGGCCUAACACAUGCAAGUCGAACGGCAGCACAGUAAGAGCUUGCUCUUACGGGUGGCGAGUGGCGGACGGGUGAGGAAUACAUCGGACUCUACUUUUUCGUGGGGGAUAACGUAGGUAAACUUACGCUAAUACCGCAUACGACCUACGGGUGAAAGCAGGGGAUCUUCGGACCUUGCGCGAUUGAAUGAGCCGAUGUCGGAUUAGCUAGUUGGCGGGGUAAAGGCCCACCAAGGCGACGAUCCGUAGCUGGUCUGAGAGGAUGAUCAGCCACACUGGAACUGAGACACGGGCCAGACUCCUACGGGAGGCAGCAGUGGGGAAUAUUGGACAAUGGGCGCAAGCCUGAUCCAGCCAUACCGCGUGGGUGAAGAAGGCCUUCGGGUUGUAAAGCCCUUUUGUUGGGAAAGAAAAGCAGCAGGUUAAUACCCCGCUGUUCUGACGGUACCCAAAGAAUAAGCACCGGCUAACUUCGUG